rnacentral:rRNA from 1 species
CAGCAGCCACGGGAAUACGAAGGGGGCUAGCGUUGUUCGGAAUUACUGGGCGUAAAGCGCACGUAGGCGGAUCGAUCAGUCAGGGGUGAAGUCCCAGGGCUCAACCCUGGAACUGCCUUUGAUACUGUCGAUCUGGAGUAUGGAAGAGGUGAGUGGAACUCCGAGUGUAGAGGUGAAAUUCGUAGAUAUUCGGAGGAACACCAGUGGCGAAGGCGGCUCACUGGUCCAUUACUGACGCUGAGGUGCGAAAGCGUGGGGAGCAAACAGGAUUAGAUACCCCGGUAGUCCCUGUCUCUUAUAC